AUGGAGCUCCAGCCCUCCUUCCUGAUGCUCCCGACCCACUCCAGCCCCUGCCCGGGUCUCUGGCGCACCCAGUGCAUGGUGAUGCCGCCAACAUCGAACCCAGAUGCGCGGCACAGCAACGUCAGGGACCCCCCGGCGGCCGUGACCCUGCUGGAGUGCGGGGGGGACCUCCAGCCCCCCGGGGGGUCCCUGCGCCUCCUCUGCCGAGGGGCCGGGUUCGAUUUUGGAGGUUCCACCCUGUAUUGGAUCCGCCAGAGACCCGGGCAGGCACUGGAGUGGCUUGCAGGGUUCAGCAGCAGCGCCUACUACGCACCAUCAGUGCAGGGCCGGUUCACGAUCUCAAAGGACAACGGGCAGAGCUCGGUGACGCUGACCAUGAACAACCUCAAGGACGAGGAUUCCGCCGUUUAUUUCUGUGCCAAAGCAGCCGGUGCUCAUGGCAAUAAUGUUGCUGUUCAUGGCUGUGCCUUCAACCCAGCAAACAGCCCCAAUCCACCCAUUAAUUAA